rnacentral:rRNA from 1 species
AGAUGGCGACCGGCGCACGGGUGAGUAACACGUAUCCAACCUGCCGAUAACUCGGGGAUAGCCUUUCGAAAGAAAGAUUAAUACCCGAUGGUAUAAUCAGACCGCAUGGUCUUGUUAUUAAAGAAUUUCGGUUUAUCGAUGGGGAUGCGUUCCAUUAGGCAGUUGGUGAGGUAACGGCUCACCAAACCUUCGAUGGAUAGGGGUUCUGAGAGGAAGGUCCCCCACAUUGGAACUGAGACACGGUCCAA